UUUUAGUGGUGGACAAAAAGAAUUUAGUCAGCGUCUAUAGUACACAGUUCGCAUGGUUGACAAGGCUUAAGAAGAACUGGUCGCCUUCAGAUCGUAAAGCCAUUUGUAACGAGCACGCUCUCGGCACUCCUCGAGAGAUUCCCGGGAUCUCCCGAGGAGUUUCCAGUGGGUCUGACUGAUGAAGCAUACGAUAAGAAUUGUUGCUGAAAGAGGGUAUGUCCAACGUAACCGAUUCACCAGAUGGCGUUCUUUCUCGCUUAAAUUGUCACAACCUAACCAAACUUUUAGGACAAUAUUUGAUGUCUCUUUCUUCGAAUCUCAAUCUCACCCAAUCAGAAAAUGACGAUCUUCAGACCGAGAGUAAGCAGAAGAAUGCUCUGAUGUACAUCAUCGUUGUCUUGUUGUUCUACUCUUGUGGAAUUGGAAUCAUGAUGAUCAAGUACAUGCGAAAAGAAGCUAAAGAACAAGAAGAGUGUAAGAUGUAUCGUCGUUACAUCAACGCUGCUCAUGAACAAUAUCUCAACUCUACAAACAGAUCUCGGCUAGCCAAUCGUCUAGCACUUCAAGCUUUAAACACAGUGAACGCCAUACCCCAGACGACACAGAUGGGCAGUAAGGUGACCUUUGUUUAAAGGUGACCAUAACUACGAGUCCACAUUUGACGUAUAAAGUAAAACCGUUUUUCUUUUAGCUUACUCAUAUGUUUGUGUAUACAUAUUUACUCCUCUGACGGUAUAAAAGAGUACUAAAAUAAAGAAAAAGCUCGUUUA